CCGCAACUGAAACGCGUCUAGUACAUGAAGCAAAACACAUAGAGCAAAACUCUAGCACUACUACACCAGGAAC